UGUUUAUUAACAACAUUUCCACUGAGUAAGUAUAUGUGGUAUUGCCUGCCCAAUGUUUAUUAUCAAUGGCCGCAGUAUUUUGACUGUGCUAAGGUAGCAUAAUUAAUUGCCUUAUAAUUGAAGGAUUGUUUGAAGGGUUUGACCAGGUAUUUUUGUAGAUGGGACUUAUUGUUGAAAUUGGGGUGCCGGUGAAGAUUCCGGCUUUCUUUAAUAAGACGGAAAGACCCCGAGAGCUUUAUACUUUGUGUUUAUUUGGGGUAAAGGCAUAUGCUUUAUGUGUUUUAGGAUCCUAUAAUAGGAUUGAAGGUUUUAGUUACCUCGGGGAUAACUAGGUAAGAGAUGAGAAGAGAUCCUAUCGAUUCAGUCUGUUUGCCAUCUCGAUGUUGACUUGGGGUUUUUAUAAGGGUGUAGGUGUUUUAUAAAAAGGCUUGUCGAACCGUAUGUCCCUUUAUGAUCU
rnacentral:rRNA from 1 species